UACGUAGGGUGCGAGCGUUGUCCGGAAUUAUUGGGCGUAAAGAGCUCGUAGGCGGCCUGUUGCGUCCGCUGUGAAAGCCCGGGCUUAACCCCGGGUCGGCAGUGGAUACGGGCAGGCUAGAGGUAGGUAGGGGAGAAUGGAAUUCCCGGUGUAGCGGUGAAAUGCGCAGAUAUCGGGAGGAACACCGGUGGCGAAGGCGGUUCUCUGGGCCUUACCUGACGCUGAGGUGCGAAAGCGUGGGGAGCAAACAGGAU
rnacentral:rRNA from 1 species